rnacentral:pre_miRNA from 1 species
AGCCAUCUGUAUUCGUGUUGAGAUUUCGUCAGUGAUUAGCCCAUUAGGGCUGAUGCAAUUCCCCAAAUAAGUGAAGCG